UACGUAGGGUGCGAGCGUUAUUCGGAAUUACUGGGCGUAAAGCGUGCGCAGGCGGUUUUGUAAGCCAGAUGUGAAAUCCCCGGGCUUAACCUGGGAAUGGCAUUUGGGACUGCAAGGCUUGAGUGCGGCAGAGGAGACUGGAAUUCCUGGUGUAGCAGUGAAAUGCGUAGAUAUCUGGAGGAACACCGGUGGCGAAGGCGGCAUCCUGGACCGACAUUGACGCUGAGGCGCGAAAGCCAGGGGAGCAAACGGG
rnacentral:rRNA from 1 species